UACAGAGGCCCCGAGCAUUACCCGGAAUUACUGGGCGUAAAGGGUGUGUAGGUGGUCGCAUUAGUCGCCUGUUAAAUCCCAGGGCUUAACUCUGGAAUCGCGGGCGAAACGGUGCGACUAGAGAGCGUGAGAGGUGAAUGGAACUCUAGGUGUAGGGGUGAAAUCCGUUGAUAUCUAGGGGAACACCGAAAGCGAAAGCAAUUCACUGGCACGUUUCUGACACUCAAACACGAAAGCGUGGGUAGCGAACGGG
rnacentral:rRNA from 1 species